CCCGUUAUCCGGGUUGCGGACAGUGUCUGGUGGGUAGUUUGACUGGGGCGGUCUCCUCCUAAAGAGUAACGGAGGAGCACGAAGGUUGGCUAAUCCUGGUCGGACAUCAGGAGGUUAGUGCAAUGGCAUAAGCCAGCUUGACUGCGAGCGUGACGGCGCGAGCAGGUGCGAAAGCAGGUCAUAGUGAUCCGGUGGUUCUGAAUGGAAGGGCCAUCGCUCAACGGAUAAAAGGUACUCCGGGGAUAACAGGCUGAUACCGCCCAAGAGUUCAUAUCGACGGCGGUGUUUGGCACCUCGAUGUCGGCUCAUCACAUCCUGGGGCUGAAGUAGGUCCCAAGGGUAUGGCUGUUCGCCAUUUAAAGUGGUACGCGAGCUGGGUUUAGAACGUCGUGAGACAGUUCGGUCCCUAUCUGCCGUGGGCGCUGGAGAACUGAGGGGGGCUGCUCCUAGUACGAGAGGACCGGAGUGGACGCAUCACUGGUGUUCGGGUUGUCAUGCCAAUGGCACUGCCCGGUAGCUAAAUGCGGAAGAGAUAAGUGCUGAAAGCAUCUAAGCACGAAACUUGCCCCGAGAUGAGUUCUCCCUGACUCCCUGAGAGUCCUGAAGGAACGUUGAAGACGACGACGUUGAUAGGCCGGGUGUGUAAGCGCAGCGAUGCGUUGAGCUAACCGGUACUAAUGAACCGUGAGG
rnacentral:rRNA from 1 species